UCCAGGAUAAUCUUACCUUCGAAGGGCAAGUAUUAUAGCUUCUAGCUUCUAUUUCAGUGUACUCAAAAUGUGUGAAGUAUUGACUUUCCUUAUUUUCCCUGUUUUCACCUGAUGAAAGCAAAUAAUAUCUGGUGAUGUAGCUAUUUAGGAAUGGGUCUGCGUAUGACCAUCAUCUGUUUGCUUCUUCUCUGAUUGAGAGACUAAAGAGAAAUGCAGCCUCAUUGCUUCUCUAGAUCCUCUGGCUACUGACCAACAGCAGGAGGUGUAUUGGCAACUUCAGAAGGAAUUAGGCCAAAAUCUGCUCUCAGUUAUGUGACUGCCACUCCCUGUGUUGGCCCACUGCCUACUCCGCUAUUGGUCACAAUAUUAAAAAAACAAGAGGGGAAACUAGGGAGAGGGAAGGAUUGGUUAACCCACAACUCUUUAACCAUGUAACUGGCAGUCUUUAAGAUGUGUUUUGAUAUCUUCUUAAAAGAGAUGCUCUAGCUCAAACUGAAAUUAUGGGCUUGAUGCAAAAAUUACUGACUGGGCUCUGUGGCCUGUGUUAUGUAGCAGACUAGGUGAUCGUAAUGGUGCUGCUGGCCUUAAAAAUCUAUGAAAACAGGUACCUGGCGACUUGCAAAGACAUGCUGGUGAAUAGACACAUAGUGGCUGAGUACUUACUGACUUACCUGUAGGUUGGUACUGACAUAUGGGUUAAGUGAGUCAGGGAGAGUAGUGGGAGCUCAGCAUUUCUGAAUAUCAGACCCGUAGACAUGAAACCAUUUCCUGAAUGGGUUAGGAUCAGGCAGAAGUCCUGGGUGGUACCCCCCCUUUGAUACUCAGCUAACAUCUUUUUCAUGGAGUUACCCAGGAAGGGAUGCCGAGCUCAUGCUCAGAGAUGGACUCUAGAACUGGGCAGUAGCUGCAGCUGGACUCUGGGACAAGACAGAGCAAUCCAGUAAGGCAACAGCAUCUCAACAGAAAGGCUGCUUGUUCCAGCUUGCCAGAGAUGGUCAAUGUCCUGUCAGAGAAAGGUGCCAACCCAAGCACAUCCCAAGACCAAACCUGAGGAUCGGCUCAGCCAGUGUGUUCUGAACUCCCCAGAGUACGUGAAUACAGGAAGCAGUUAACAGUGCUGUGCAUCGCCACAAACUUCUGAUUUGCAACUGGAGCUGUUUUUUGUAAGAACACAAUCAUGCACUUUGCAACAAACAAGAGGACAGCUAGCCAAGAUGAGGCAAUCAAACCAGUGUUUCAGCCGCUCACCUUUGGCGUUAAUUCCUAACACUACUCCACCUUAGCACAGAGAGAGAGAGAGAGAGAGAGAGAGUCAGUCAGUUCAUUCCACAGAGGUAAGCCAAGCUGUGCCAGUAAAGACAGACAGAGAAGUCUGUAAAAGCAGCAAAGAGUCCUGUGGCACUGUAUAGACUAACAGACGUAUUGGAGCAUGAGCUUUCGUGGGAUGCAUGCAGAGAAGUCUGUUACUGACACUUGUUCAGCUAUCUAGCGAGAUGUAUGCAGUGUGACAUUGCAAAGCUUUCCAUGCUCCUUGGUAGCUAUUGGAAACAGCUGUUUAGAGGGGCAAGUGACAAGGGAGUCCUCACUCUCUUACACAGGUACAUUUUCUUCCUUUUAGCAUGGGUGGGUGGCGGCUACUAGUGAGCACGAUCACUGGGUAGAUGAAAGCUUCCUGGCUAGAUUAUCCCGGCCCCACUCACUUAGAGCUGGGCAUGGAGGAAGGAGUACAUCUUUCCAGCACUGCUAACAGGUGUGGCUCUGUCCCAUGCUGCCUUUAUGGUGCUGCCCCCCUCCUCUGAGUGUAAUACUCUUGACAAUGUGUAAUUACAAGUGAAUUUGUUGCCCUCUUGAUUUAACAGAUCCCUUAGUGUGUGGGGAGGGAUGGGGCUAGGAUCUGGCCAAGAAAAGGAAAGUCAGUUAAAUCACAUGCCAAAGUAUUCUAUGCUCAGAGGAGCAAACAUGGAAGCUGGAACAGCCUAUCCUUUUUUAAGGAUGGCCCAGAGUGGGACUGUAAAUGCCCCUCUGAUUCCAAAGGCAUAAGGAGGUAAUGAACUCUCCUGGCCCGUAAAUCAUUAAGGCCACAAACAAAAUGACCCCUAAAUACUGCAAAGGUGCUUUGAAGCCUUUGCAUUCGACAAAGACAUAUUAAGCCUCCACUUUCACUAGUCUCUGGCUUUCAGAAGAAAACGCUUUGAAAAUCAAGGUGGAGUGAGACAGGCUCGUCCUACAGGAGAGUGGGAAGCCAGAGCUGAGUGUACCUGAAUGCGUAGUGCGUGGGAAUUACACCCGCCUGCCACACAAGUUCACUGGGGCAUUUUUAACCUAGUCCCAUUUCAAAGCAAGGUAGCAAAGUGCACAACAGAAUUUGUGUGCGUGGCAGCAGGGUCCAUGUGGGCAGGCUAGUGCGUGCUAGAUUUCUACCUCCGCUUGCCGCAAGCUAAGUGGUCAUAUAGACAAGCUCUUAGUUGAUUAAUGUGAAAGGGCACAUGCCCAAAGCAGCUUUAAACUUACUUCAAGUGUAUCUUACUUACCAAUAAAAUCAUUUGAUUUUCCAAUAUCAUAAUCCCACACAGUGACUUCUAAGGUCUUCUUUGCCAGGUCACCAUGCUUUAUUUCAUAACAAAAUUCCUGUUGGGGAGAAGAAACCGAAUUCAGGAGGCAGCAUGUCAUCCCCAAAACUCUAGCUAUGCUAAUGCUAGCACAGUGCAGUGUGGUUUUAUAGAGCAUCCUCAGUGCAAGGAUCAAAAUGUUUCACAGAAAAUGCUUGUAAGCUACAGCAACAAGGAAGAUUUGAAGGUGCUAUUGAAUAGGACUGACUGAGUGGCUUGCAGAGCAUGUCAGCUGGGUGGAACAGAGGAGCAGUUGGCUCUGAGGAGCUAGUGCAGAAAGACUUACUGGGAUCACUGCAUAUGCCCCUUGCUGUCAUUUGUUUUCUGGGCCAGGGAAAUUCUCAUUUAACAAUGACGAAACAUAUGCAAAGGGAGGUGAAUCAUGAGCCAAUGCUUAUGCUCUGUGUAGCAGGUGAUGGAGGAGGAGAGGGCUUUAAUUGUAUAUGAUUGACACCCUUUUCAGGUGGUCCUACCAUGGAGAGACCUAGCAAGUGGUGUACAGCAAGGUUUCUUUUUCGCCUGUAUUAACAGAAGUAGGUGAAUGAGGCAGGAUUUCCCAGUGGUUAGUGCACAAGCCUGGAACUUGGAAGACUGGAGCUCAAUUCCCUGCUCUACUAUUGCCUUCCUGCAUGAUCGUGGACAAGUCCCUUAAGCCCUGACCUGCUGUUAGACACCUAAAUAACACUGAGGCUCUGGGCCUCAGUUUCCAGGAUGUAAAAUGAAGAUUAGUAGCACAUCUCUACCUCACAGAAGUGAGGAGGAUCAGUCCCUUAAAGGUGGUCAGGUGUUUGGAUGUGAUGGAGGUGAGGCCAUAGAAGUACCAAAGCAGAUAAAGCAAAAGCCGUGCACCCGGCUGCACUAGCAUGAGCCAGGCUAGAUAACCACCCAGCUCAUGUGAAAAUUACAACUGCACAAACCAGACUUGUGUCCACUUCCAUAACUGAGAUGGGGAUAAGGUGCCUCUACACCUGACCCACUGGGGGCAGGGGGGCAGAUGCAAAGAUCCCAGCCAGGAGUGCUAGAGGAAGGGUGUUUCUUCACUGCUCAGCUUGCAAUAGAAGUAUUUAGAAAGGCAAGCAGAGACAGAAUAUGAUUGGAUGUCCCGCAGCAGGGGAAAUUGAUGCGAUUUAUAGGCCUAUCGUCUUGAUGUAUGAGGUGCUCAUCAAAGAGAGCAGCAUUUUAGCAGCUAUCAAAUACAGUGUGGUGCAAAAGUACCUCAUUGAAUUCAGGGUUUAGUGUUUUCUUUUUCACUGCUGUCUUGUGCUUUGAUUUCUUGUCCUCAUCUGGUUUCAAGUAGCUGUAAUUAUAAUAAAGAACUUGGUCAGAACACAGCACCAUCUAGCUGACCGUCAGCAUUUCUUUUUUACAAGUUUGACCUAACUUGUUCCCGCAGUCAGUGGAGUUGUAUUCCCAGCUCUGCCGGUGACUCGCUCUGCGACCACAGGUGAACUACUGGCCUGCCUUGAGCUAGGGCUUCCUAUUUUGUAAGCCGGAGGGUCUUAUUUCUUACUUACCCUGGUUAAAGUUCUUUGAGUGAAAAUCACUGUAGCAGUGGAAAGUAGCAUAUUGGCCUCUGGCAUUAAAAAGAGGCACUGCUUGAACUCACGCUGAGCAGCUGUUCAUAACCCCAUGACCCAAGCCCGACCCCAGAUGUACAGUA